rnacentral:rRNA from 1 species
AUUAAACGCUGGCGGCAUGCCUUACACAUGCAAGUCGAACGGCAGCACGGGGGCAACCCUGGUGGCGAGUGGCGAACGGGUGAGUAAAGCAUCGGAACGUGCCCUGGAGUGGGGGGAUAACGUAGCGAAAGUUACGCUAAUACCGCAUAUUCUGUGAGCAGGAAAGCAGGGGAUCGCAAGACCUUGCGCUCUGGGAGCGGCCGAUGUCGGAUUAGCUAGUUGGUGGGGUAAAGGCCUACCAAGGCGACGAUCCGUAGCGGGUCUGAGAGGAUGAUCCGCCACACUGGGACUGAGACACGGCCCAGACUCCUACGGGAGGCAGCAGUGGGGAAUUUUGGACAAUGGGCGAAAGCCUGAUCCAGCCAUGCCGCGUGAGUGAAGAAGGCC